AUGUUUCUGUAACGUGUUUUUUAUAGACCUUUUUGUUGUGUCCCCCCUCCUUCUCGUGGUUAUGGUUUCGACCGAUCCCCCUCUGUCAGUUUCAAGUUGCGCCUUCUCCCUCUGCUGUGUGUUGCUACUCGCUCUGGCCUUAACGAGCAUUAACCACUUAAACAGGACAGUUUUACGUGGAAUUCUGGACAUACACACGAAAAUGGAUUCAUUCCCGCCACAUAAGAGUGGAUUAUAAACCCACGGGAUUCAGAGAGUGAAGAUGCUUGAGGCUGGGAGUUAGAGCGCUCCACCCUAUAGAGCGUGUUCCAGGGCUGGGGCUGGAUCCAGAGACCCCUGCCUGGGGGGUGAAGGGCCCUCACAGCCCCUGUGUGAGUCUGGACUAUGGGGGAUGGAGGCGCGGGUGCAACUGGAGGAGAUGGGGUGAACAAGUCCCAUGUCCUGUUUGACAACUUUGUCCAGGGGACCACGUGUAAGGGCACGCUCAAGGCCUUCCAGGAGCUGUGUGACCACCUGGAAGUCAAGCCCGGCGAGUACAGGAUCUUCUAUCACAAGCUCAAGUCCAAACUCAACUACUGGAAGGCCAAGGCGCUCUGGGCAAAGUUAGACAAGAGGGCCUUCCAGAAGGAGUACAAAAAGGGCCGUGCCUGUGCCAACUCACAGUGUCUGAUCAUUGGUGCGGGACCAUGCGGCCUACGCACAGCCAUCGAGCUGGCUUUCCUGGGGGCCAAAGUGGUACUGUUGGAAAAGAGAGAUGCCUUCUCUAGGAACAAUGUGCUGCACCUCUGGCCCUUCACCAUCCAGGACCUCAGGGGCCUCGGGGCCAAAAAAUUCUACGGAAAGUUCUGUGCUGGUGCUAUCGAUCAUAUCAGUAUUCGUCAGCUUCAGUUAAUUCUUCUGAAAGUGGCACUCUUGCUGGGCAUUGAGAUCCAUGUCAACGUAGAGUUCAAGGGUCUUAUUGAGCCCCCACAAGAUCAAGAGACUGAAAGGAUAGGCUGGAGGGCUGAGGUCCACCCCAGGACACACCCUGUCAAUGAGCUGGAGUUUGAUGUCAUCAUCGGAGCAGAUGGAAGAAGGAACACACUACCAGGGUUUCGCCGUAAGGAGUUCCGGGGCAAGCUCGCCAUCGCCAUCACCGCGAACUUCAUCAACAGGAACACGUCAGCGGAGGCGAAGGUUGAGGAGAUCAGCGGGGUAGCCUUCAUCUUCAACCAGAAGUUCUUUCAAGACCUCAGAGAAGCAACAGGUAUUGACCUGGAAAACAUUGUCUACUACAAGGAUGACACACACUACUUUGUGAUGACUGCCAAAAAACAGAGCCUGCUGGAGAAAGGAGUCAUUCUGCAUGACUAUGCAGACACAGAGCUGCUGCUGUCCAGAGCCAACGUGGACCAGGCCGCCCUGCUCUCGUACGCCAGCGAGGCCGCAGAUUUCUCCACCAACCAUCAGCUGCCCGCACUGGAUUUCGCCAUCAACCACUACGGCCAGCCCGACGUAGCCAUGUUCGACUUCACCUGCAUGUACGCUUCAGAGAACGCCGCCAUGGUGCGCCAACGGAAUGGCCACAAGCUGCUGGUGGCGCUGGUGGGCGACAGCUUGUUGGAGCCCUUCUGGCCCAUGGGCACUGGCAUCGCCCGAGGUUUCCUGGCAGCCAUGGACUCAGGCUGGAUGGUGAAGAGCUGGGCUCAGGGAAAAACCCCUCUUGAGGUUCUGGCUGAGAGGGAGAGUAUAUAUCGUCUACUGCCCCAAACCACGCCAGAAAACGUCAGUAAGAACGUCAGUCAUUUCAGCGUGGAUCCAACCACGCGUUACCCCAACAUUAGCCUUAACUUCCUCAAGCCCAGCCAGGUGCGGCACCUCUGCGACACAGGGGAGUCCAGGGAAAUUCACAUUGAAAUUGAGAAUGUGAUCAACUCCUCAACACCCAAGUUGGCCAGGAAUGACAAUUGCCUGCUUGACAAGCAGUUGCAAGAAUCCAUAGCUCGAUCCAGCAAGCUGCUGAACUGGUGUCAGAGACAAACGGAGGGAUACAGAAAUGUUAACGUAACGGACCUUACCAUGUCUUGGAAGAGCGGUCUGGCCCUGUGCGCCCUCAUUGACCGAUACAGACCGGACCUCAUUGACUUUGAUUCCCUGGACGAGCGGGACCAGGAGAAGAACAACCAGUUGGGAUUUGAUGUGGCGGAGAGGGAGUUUGGCAUUUCGCCCUGCAUGACCGGCAAGGAGAUGUCUUCUGUGGUAGAGCCAGACAAGCUCUCCAUGGUCAUGUACCUCAGCCAGUUCUAUGAGAUGUUUAAGGACACAGUGCCACCCGGAGAUAACCACAACUUGAGUCCUGAGGAGAAGGCAGCAAUGAUAUCCAGCACCAAAUCUCCCAUCUCCUUCCUCAGCAAACUUGGUCAGAGCAUAGCAAUAUCCAGGAAACGAAAUCCGAAGCAGGACAAAAAAGAGAAGGACGUGGACGGUUUGGGGAAGAGAAGGAAAACCAGCCAGUCUGAAGAUGAGGAGGCAUCCAGGAGCGGUCGUGACGACAGGUCGCCUGUCUCGGCUGUCCUGUCGGAGAGAAAAAUGGACUCCUGCGCUGCGGGGAACCACAACAAAGUCAAAGUCAUGGCCACCCAGCUGCUCGCCAAGUUUGAGGAGAAUGCCCCGCAGCCUACAGGACUCAAACGGCAGGGGGAGUCUCUGCCCAAUCUGGACUGCCUUUCGCCCCUUAUCCCGCCCAAAACCCCUUUGAAUGAGCCGGUGCGCCUGGCUCCUGUCCCAGCAUGGAGAAAGAGACGCACACAGCAGCAGGAGCAGCUGAGCAUUCGCUACAAAGAAAUGAUCAAGUGUCAGACACUGCCUAACAGGGGGGAGCAGGCCAGAAGUGGCGCGGACCAACUGUCCAGCUCGGGCUCUCGCAGCUGCCCAAAGAAAACCAUUCUGCUCCCUUCUUCCUCCUCCACUUCCUCGCUCUCUCUUCACUCAGAGCAUUUGCAUAAAAGUCCGGAGGAAGAGGAGCUUGAAUACUACGAGAUGCCUCUAAAAUACGGGGAGUGGAAGCUUCCGCAUCUGACAGACCCAAGACCCAUUCACAUACCUGGUAUACAGGAGAGGGUGGAUCGCCUAAUCUCCAGGUUUAAGGGCAAACCUGAUAGGCCACCAAAGCCUAAGAAAAAACCCUCACAUUUUUUUAUGGAACAAUGGCACCUGUCCCGAGCCCAGUCUCCUCCUGAUUCCCCCCCCUCCACCUCCGACACCUUGAGACAGCGCUAUGUAAGGAUGUACACAGGCGGAGUUAGCUCAUUGGCUGAGCAGAUAUCCAAUCAGCUUCACUCUCAGGAAGACCCUAAGCCCCUACUCGAAAAGAGGGAUUUGGGCUCUCUCAGAAAGGAGUUCCCCGCCAACAUCGGUGGCAGUGAUGUGUGCUUCUUCUGCCGAAAGCGCGUGUACGUGAUGGAGAGGCUGAGCGCAGAGGGGAAGUUCUUUCAUCGCAGCUGCUUCAAGUGUGAAUACUGUGGCACCACACUGCGACUGUCCUCCUACGCCUUUGAUGUGGAGGAUGGGAAAUUUUACUGCAAGCCCCACUUCUGUUACCGUCUGUCUGGCUAUGCUCAGAGAAAGAGGCCUGCUCCUUCCCCUGCUCCAGUCACUGCUAAGGAGAACCAGGCGCCCCAAACUCCUACGGCGACCGUUGAUGCCCCCGGAAGGGCGAUGGCAGCGGCAACCCCGUCGGCCGAGCUCCAGCCCUCAGUGCCGGAGGUCAACGGCCUCCAGGCGCCCAGCCUAGCUAAACGUCUGCGGGGAACUCCAGAGCGCAUCGAGUUGGAGAACUACCGUCUGUCCCUGCAGAAGGAGGAGGAGCUGGAGGAGGUGCCUGAGGAGACACUGGCAGAACACAACCUCAGCAGCGUGCUUGACAAGGCCGCAGACGCUGACCUGGGCUCCAGUAGCUCCGAGUCAGACAUGGACGAGGAGGAUGAGCAGGAGGAUCCGGAGGAGGUGGAGCAGCAACCUCUCAGCCCCUCCGAUCUCGGCGGUGUUCCCUGGAAGGAGGCGGUGGAGCUCCACGCCAAACUAAGGGGCACGGAUGGCGAGGAAGAGGGCGAGGAAGAGGGCGAGGAUGAGGGUGAGGCUCUGGCCGACGCGGUCAGCAGAGACGGAGAACUAGAUGAAGACGAGGAGGAAGAUGAGGAUGAAGACGAUGGCGAGUCGAGCGAUGAGGGGGAUUACUGCCCCUGGGAUAGAGAGCUCCAGUCCGGCCUUUGGCUGGAGAAGCACCUCACAGAUGAAGAAGAUGUUGGUACAUUUAAAGCGAGGAACCUAAGGAUCCAACAGAUCCUGCAGCCUGUGGACCCUCAGGCCAUCCCAGGUUCGGUCAGAACACACAUGGACUCUGAGGGAGACAAGGAGGGCCAGCUGGCCUCAGCCUCCCAACUCUCCCAACCCUCUGAGCUCACGCAGGCCUCCUCUACAGCCCUUGGCCACACGUCCGCCCGACACGAGGCAGUGAGAGUCUGGUUGGAGUCCAUGUCUGGAGAGCCCUGUGAGGAUGGAGAUCUGGAAGCAGAAGCAGACAGUCCGGAUAUGGAGCCUGGUACCGAGAUGGAUCAGGAUGACAUCCCUUCAGAUGCAGAAGCUGAGGCUCAUUUGCAUCAGUCAGGGCGUGGCGAAGAGCUUCCCGAGGAAGACAAGAAGUCAGAAAGGCUGAGGAUGUCCUCCAGUAUUGAACCAUCCAGCAUCAGCCCCAUGCAGAAAGAAGAUGUUCUUCUUUCCCCUCUCAGACCAUCUCCAGAGCCUGAAUUACAGAUAAGUCUGCUGAUGUCUCCUGGCACCCGCUUUUUCCCAGAACCGUUCAUACCAGAGGAAAGGAAGGCUGAGAGGACAUCUCCCUCUCCAGCCCCCAAGAGUCCUUUGUCCCCUUCGCCUGCACCAGUCCGCAAUCCUUCCGCUGUCCCAUCCCCUACUCUUGUUGCCUCCCCUGUCAAUGUCCCUGCCUCAUAUCCCCUAAGUUCACUCACCAAAUCAUCACCAACCACAGAGUCACCGGUCAGAUCCCCUGUCAAAUCCCCUGUUGGCUCCGCGAUCUGCUCUCAACCCACCCCCUUACCAGAGACUUGCACACCUAUAUCUCCUGUCUACCCUCACCGCUCUAUUUGCCCUCUCACAGGCAACCCCCUCUCCCCAAUCUGUGCUCGGCCUUUGCUCUGUCAGGAGCCAUCGUCACCCCUCGGCUCUGACUCUCCGGUCAGAACUCAGCCUGUCCCUGCAGUCACUUCCACGCCCAUGACCAACACAGACAAGGGCCCUUCUGAGCCUCCAAUUUCUGUAGAGUCCUCAACAGAGGAAACUCCAUCUAAAAAGACAGAUAUCAUUGAGGAAUUUUGGUUAAAGAGUGCCGAGAUCAGAAAGAGCCUUGGUUUGACACCUCUGGACCGCAGUAGUAAGAUCUUAGAAAGGAGUGUUGUCACGGCUCCAGUGCAGGACUCCAGCCCUGUUAAGACACAGUCUCAAGAUGUGUUGGAGGAACAGAAGCCUGUCUUCACUGGCCGCACUGUCAUCCGCAGACUCAACAUAACUCUUGAGGGUCAGGUCAUUACCCCCAUUGCUCUUACGGAGCCCAAGAGUAAUGGCUCCGAUAAGAGGGACCUGAGCAACAGCUCUGGCCUGGGGUUGAACGGGAGCAUGGCUACGAGCCAGACAGCAAACAGUGACAGCUUUAACACGUCCGACUCCACCAUGCUCACCCCGCCCUCCAGCCCGCCCCCACCUGUGCCUGCUAAUCAGUCUCCUGCUGUGUUCCGGCAGCAGAGACACCAGGUGUCUUGGAGCAACGGGAUAGAAAACCCUCUACCUGAGCGUGCCAAAGAGCCAGCAAAAGUCAAGAGUCCUGUUCCUGCACCGAGGACUCAGCUGAGUCCCGUGUCCGCACCGAGGACCCAGCUGAGUCCCGUGUCUGCACCCAAACCCGCACGCAGGAAAGUCUCCUCGCCCCAGGCAGAUCCAGAAACAACUCCAGUGGUUGUCAUGAGGGAGAAGAAGAAGCCACGGCCGCAGGAGGUGAGGAAGUCGUUCGUGGAGACGGUGGAGGAGAUUCCGUUUGCAGAUGACGUGGAAGAGACCUAUGAUGAGCGGACACCAGAAACGAGCAUGAACAGCUACUAUACUCCACCCACUAGCAAGCCCAGCAGAUACAGACCUCCCCUACAUCUGGCUCUAGCCAUGGAAAAUGGUAAACCAAAUAUACAUGUCAACCAGGUCUCUAGGACCGAGAGAGCAACUCAGUUCUCCCCAGAGGCCAAAGAGAUCGCUGAGGAGAGAAUGAAGGCCAGAGAAAAGUCAGUCAAGAGCCAGGCUCUGAAAGACGCCAUGGCCAAGCAGCUCAACAAAAUGAAGGAAUCUGACAUAGACAAGGGUGCCUUACCUAAAACGGCCCGGAGCGUAACCCCAGAUGCUGUCGGAAAAAGCAAAAAGUCAGCCGCGUCUCCGAAGACAUCAGCCGUGAAAGCUCUGGAGUCAAAGAAGGCCGAUAUUUUACCUGAGCGUUUCUUCAGCAGCAACAAGAGUCUGGACAGCUCGGUGGCUUCGUCGGACGGCUCCUCUACGAGCAAGAGCAAGAAACGAAGUUCCCUCUUCUCGCCGCGCAAGAAUAAGAAGGAGAAAAAGGCCAAGAACGACAGCAGCAGGCUCUCCGGCACAGACGAGACACCGCCCAAACACAAGUCGCUGUGGAAGGCCGUCUUCUCAGGGUACAAGAAGGACAAAAAGAAGAAGGACGAUAAAUCAUCUCCGAGCACGCCGUCCUCCAGUUCCACCACCCAGGACUCCGGGAAGAAGAAAACCUCACCAUCAUCAGACUUGAAAUCCCGCAGAAACUUGAGCUUCUCUGAGGAAUCCGACCUGUCCUGUGAUGAUGUUCUGGAGAGGUCCUCCCAGAAGUCAAAGGCAGAUCAGCACAUGGACAUCUUUGACCUAGUAUCAGGCAUGCACAUGGAAGCGAUUAAGGAGGAGAAACUGGAGAAGGAGAGGAGGAGGGAGAUGAAGGAAAGGAAGAGGGUGAAAGAGAGGCAUAAAGAAAGAGAGCGAGGAAAAGAGGUUGAUCGCGAAAAGGAGAAAAACGAGGAGGAGUCUGUUUAUGUCCCUCACGCACUGGCGUUCAAGAGAUCGUACGCCACAAAGAAAACCUACACCGAGGAAGAGCUGAAUGCCAAGCUGACGCGAAGGGUCCAGAAAGCUGCCCGACGACAAGCCAAGCAGGAGGAACUCAAGAGGCUGCACAGAGCCCAGAUCAUCCAGAGACAGUUGGAGCAGGUGGAGGAGAAGCAGAGGCAGCUGGAAGAGAGAGGCGUAGCUGUGGAGAAAGCUUUGAGAGGAGAAGCAGGAUUGUAUAAAGGUACUUAUACAUUACCCAAACAGCACAAAAGAAGAUCAGACUAUUGGGGAGAUUCUAAUUACAGUGAAAUCCUGGACUUGCAUCUGGGCGUUGAGCCCUUUGUGGGGAUGCCUCGCCGAAGACCCCUCUCCUUCUGCCCCUGCUGUUCCCCUCAAGGCAUGGGCAAGAAGGACGAUCCCAAGCUAAUGCAGGAGUGGUUUAAGCUGGUGCAGGAGAAAAAUGCCCUGGUCCGCUAUGAGUCAGAACUCAUGAUAUUGUAAGUACCAGAGAGUUGGAGCUGGAGGACCGACAGAGCCGCCUGCAGCAGGAACUCAGGGAGCGGAUGGCUGUGGAAGACCACCUGAAGUCGGAGAAGGAGCUCAGUCAAGAGAAGCAGAUCUUGAAUGAGAUGUUGGAGGUGGUGGAGCAACGUGACGCCCUGGUGGCCCUCUUGGAUGAGCAGAGGCUUCGGGAGAAAGAGGAGGACAAGGACCUGGAGGCUGUAAUGCUCUCCAAAGGCUUCAACCUCAACUGGGCUUAGCAGGAAGGAAACAAUUGCUCAUCGAGCCCUGGGAAAAGAGUUGACUACACUUGUGAUGGCUGGUCUCUGCCUCACGCGGUCAUCUUGGAUCAGGAUAGUCUGCUGAACACUGCAGCAGUGAAUGUGUAAAGAUUCCCCCAACACACACCACGACUGCCUCUGACAUGGAAGCAGUAUGCAACGUUUACAUAUCCUCUGCCCAAUGGCAGUUCCAGUUAAUCACUUUGCAGUUUUUUUUUGCUCGCUCUCGAUCUCUAAGGGUGUAGAAGCGGGUACAUUCACAGCUUUAUCAGGCCAGCCUUGAAGUGGAUCUUCUCCAACAGGAGGCAGGCUAUGGGAGAAUGUUUAAAGACUUGUUUCAUUCUCUAUCAUCUAAAAGGGAAGAAUGCAGUUCGGUCCUGCUGAUGUAAAGGAAUUGUAAAGAAUUGUGUCUUUGUGUGUAGUUGUAAGUAAGUCACAUUGUCGGCGGAUGAGGGUCAUCUCUUCUUUUUUUCUGAAAAAAGGACCGCUACAGAGGCGUGUUUAAGUGCUGGAGUGAUGUCUCCGGUCUCAAUCUCUGAUUCUCCUUUCCAGUCUAAGUGAAGGACGAACAGCCUCUGCUGAAGCUGCCUUUCUAUCCAGUCACAAACUGACCUCUGCGUCAUUAUGAACCAUAAAGACACCAUAAAAGGCUCUAUUUUCCCACAUCAGUGUUUUUGUGAGUCAACACUAAGAAACCAUCAAAUAUGGCCAUGGUUUUUAAUGUAUUUAUUAUCUUUUUUAACAUUUUAGUUUUGUUUUGCAUUCACAGGUGAGUGCCCUGCAUCUCAUUAUCUUGCACUCGUGCAUGACUCGGAUGCAUCGAUAAGCCAUUGCAUGUCAGGAAUGAAGGCUGCAGACACAUAGAAGAACUUAACCUUGUCUUUCAUAGCUAGGACACAAAAUACAGACUUAUGCUAUUUAUGAACAGCAUUUCACAUAAUGAUGGGCCUCUCCUUGACAUGCCGUUCACUGUACAUCACACUGUGGGAAAUAGUAGGGAGGUAAAAAAAGUGUUUUCACCUUUUGAAGGAACUGUCUCUUCAAAUUCCGAAAAUGUCACUGUUAAUGGGAGAUCAGCGUAGCUCACAUUACUCAUUUUGUGCCACAGGACUGUCUCUGCUGGUGGAUAUGCUGCAAUAUCUGAGAUAUACACUACGAGGACUUCCACACUACACACCACUCACAUCAACACAUGGCAGUGCUAAUACUUUACCCUUGAACAAGAUGCCUUUUUCAUUUUCAUUCUCUAUACUUAAGUUAUGUUUAAUUUUUUGAGUUGACUUGUUUUUGAGGUAGUCCCAUAUGUGUACCCCACUGGAACUCAAGAUUUUAGUUUUUCAAAUACUUUUAUACAGCAGGUCUCCACACAAAAAAACACAUGAUUUUAAAUAGGGAGUUUAGGAAAUGCAAAGUGCUUUAUGAGCAACUUGCCUCAAACAGGGAAUCUUAUGGUUUAACUGGUGGACAGUCUAAUUUAAUAGCCUUUUUUUGACAACUGUAAAUAUCCACAUGGUCACUGUUUUACAGCCAAGAAACAUUAGAGGCUAUAUUUAUGACUUGGAAUGAGCUGUGAAUUAAAAAAGAAGUGAUAUCAUUUUGAGGGUUAUGGUUUUAGAUGGUGUGUGUGAUAAGUUUGACAUGAUUGUAUUGAUAUUUAUUAACAUGUGUGCAAACUGUAUUAUAUGUAAAGAAAAUGAAUCCUAAUUUUUAAACCGUUCUGUUGACACAUGACUUGUAAAUGCUUCAUGUAGCUAAAAUGCAUAGGGGUGUUGGAUGUAUGCUGAAAACGGCAAUAAAACAAUGCAGUUCUUUUAAACGUU